AUUGAACGCUGGCGGAAUGCUUUACACAUGCAAGUCGAACGGCAGCACGGGUGCUUGCACCUGGUGGCGAGUGGCGAACGGGUGAGUAAUGCGUCGGAACGUGCCGAGUAAUGGGGGAUAACGCAGCGAAAGUUGUGCUAAUACCGCAUACGCCCUGAGGGGGAAAGUGGGGGAUCGCAAGACCUCACGUUAUUCGAGCGGCCGACGUCUGAUUAGCUAGUUGGUGGGGUAAAGGCCUACCAAGGCGACGAUCAGUAGCGGGUCUGAGAGGAUGAUCCGCCACACUGAGACUGAGACACGGCCCAGA
rnacentral:rRNA from 1 species